ACAGGGAUUGCCCUAGUAACGGCGAGUGAAGCGGCAACAGCUCAAAUUUGAAAUCUGGCGUCUUUGGCGUCCGAGUUGUAAUUUGCAGAGGGCGCUUUGGCAUUGGCAGCGGUCCAAGUUCCUUGGAACAGGACGUCACAGAGGGUGAGAAUCCCGUACGUGGUCGCUAGCCUUUGCCGUGUAAAGCCCCUUCGACGAGUCGAGUUGUUUGGGAAUGCAGCUCUAAAUGGGAGGUAAAUUUCUUCUAAAGCUAAAUACUGGCCAGAGACCGAUAGCGCACAAGUAGAGUGAUCGAAAGAUGAAAAGCACUUUGGAAAGAGAGUUAAAAAGCACGUGAAAUUGUUGAAAGGGAAGCGCUUGCAGCCAGACUUGCCUGUAGUUGCUCAUCCGGGUUUCUACCCGGUGCACUCUUCUAUAGGCAGGCCAGCAUCAGUUUGGGCGGUUGGAUAAAGGUCUCUGUCAUGUACCUCUCUUCGGGGAGAACUUAUAGGGGAGACGACAUGCAACCAGCCUGGACUGAGGUCCGCGCAUCUGCUAGGAUGCUGGCGUAAUGGCUGUAAGCGGCCCGUCUUGAAACACGGACCAAGGAGUCUAACAUCUAUGCGAGUGUUUGGGUGUCAAGCCCGAGCGCGUAAUGAAAGUGAACGGAGGUGGGAACCUUUCGGGGUGCACCAUCGACCGAUCCUGAUGUCUUCGGAUGGAUUUGAGUAAGAGCAUAGCUGUUGGGACCCGAAAGAUGGUGAACUAUGCUUGAAUAGGGUGAAGCCAGAGGAAACUCUGGUGGAGGCUCGCAGCGGUUCUGACGUGCAAAUCGAUCGUCAAAUUUGGGCAUAGGGGCGAAAGACUAAUCGAACUAUCUAGUAGCUGGUUCCU
rnacentral:rRNA from 1 species